AUACGGAGGAUGCGAGCGUUAUCCGGAUUUAUUGGGUUUAAAGGGUGCGUAGGCUGUGCGUUAAGUCAGGGGUGAAAUGCCGUCGCUCAACGACGGAGCUGCCCUUGAUACUGGCGUGCUGGAGUACGGAUGCCGUUGGAGGAGUGAGUGGUGUAGCGGUGAAAUGCUUAGAUAUCACUCAGAACACCGAUUGCGAAGGCAUCUGACGAAUCCGUCACUGACGCUGAGGCACGAAAGCGUGGGGAUAGAACAGGAUUAGAUACCCUGGUAUUCCACGCCGUAAACGAUGAUGACUAACCGUCGGCGAUAGACAGCCGGUGGCCAAGCGAAAGCGAUAAGUCAUCCACCUGGGGAGUACGUCGGCAACGAUGAAACUCAAAUGAAUUGACGGGG
rnacentral:rRNA from 1 species